rnacentral:rRNA from 1 species
UGGGGAAUUUUGCUCAAUGGGGGAAACCCUGAUGCAGCGACGCCGCGUGAUUUAGAAGGCCUUCGGGUUGUAAAAAUCUUUUCUAUGGGAAGAAAAUGACAGUACCAUAGGAAUAAGGACCGGCUAAUUACGUGCCAGCAGCCGCGGUAAUACGUAAGGUCCGAGCGUUGUCCGGAAUCAUUGGGCGUAAAGGGUACGUAGGCGGGUAAGCAAGUUAGAAGUGAAAUCCUAUAGCUCAACUAUAGUAAGCUUUUAAAACUGCUCAUCUUGAGGUAUGGAAGGGAAAGUGGAAUUCCUAGUGUAGCGGUGAAAUGCGCAGAUAUUAGGAGGAAUACCGGUGGCGAAGGCGACUUUCUGGCCAUAACCUGACGCUGAGGUACGAAAGCGUGGGUAGCAAACAGG